rnacentral:lncRNA from 1 species
UUGGGCAAUCCUCACCUCAUAAGCUAGCUUUUGGGGUUGAGUUCGGCCCAAUGUCCAUUCUUAUCAUGGUAUCAGAGCCAGGCCCAUCCCAAUUAUUGAUACCGAUGUUGGGCCCCAUUUAUGUUGUCCACGCUCCAGAGAUCUGGGCGUGAUGGGGGGUGUUGAGUUGUCCCACAUCGGAGGGAUUUGAGGUCCUUGGUCUCCUUAUAUGGCUUGGGCAAUCCUCACCUCAUAAGCUAGCUUUCGGGGUAGAGUUAGGCCCAAUGUCCAUU